GAUGAACGCUAGCGGGAGGCUUAACACAUGCAAGUCGAGGGGUAAAAUUCAGCAAUGGAUUGAGACCGGCGGACGGGUGCGUAACGCGUAUGCAACAUACCUUGUGCAGGGGGAUAGCCCGUGGAAACGCGGAUUAAUAUUCCAUAGAUCAGUAACAUCGCAUGGUGUAACUGGUAAAGUUAAGGCGGCACAAGAUUGGCAUGCGUCUGAUUAGCUGGUUGGUAGGGUAACGGCCUACCAAGGCGACGAUCAGUAGGGGUUCUGAGAGGAUUAACCCCCACACUGGUACUGAGACACGGACCAGACACCUACGGGUGGCUG
rnacentral:rRNA from 1 species